GACACUGUUGACCAUACAAUACUUUUGGACAGGUUAGAAAACUGGGUGGGGCUUUCAGGCACAGUCUUAAAUUGGUUCAGAUCCUACCUACAAAAUAGGAACUACUUUGUUUCCAUUGGCGACUUUGUAUCAGAAUCAACCAACGUGAUGUGUGGAGUCCCACAAGGUUCGAUCUUAGGACCCUCUUUAUUCAACAUCUACAUGCUCCCACUAGGGCAAAUCAUGCAUAAUAACAAUAUUGACCAUCAUUGCUAUGCUGAUGACACGCAAAUCUAUGUAUCGCUAUCACCAAAUGACUAUCGGCCCAUAGAUCUGCUGUGCCAGUGCAUUGAGCAAGUGAAAGACUGGAUGUGCCGAAAUUUCCUUCAGCUAAAUGAGGAUAAAACAGAGAUAAUUGUAUUUGGUGCUAAAACGGAAAGGCUUAAAGUAACCCAACACCUUCACUCUCUGUCCCUGAAAACCUCAAUCAAAGCCAGAAAUCUAGGGGUUAUCAUGGAUUCUGAUUUACAAUUUUGAAAGUCACAUCAAAUCAGUUACAAAAUCAGCAUAUUAUCACCUUAAAAAUGUAGCAAGACUUAGAGGGCUCAUGUCCACCGAAGACUUACAAAAACGUGUACAUGCCUUUAUCACUAGUAAGCUUGAUUACUGCAAUGGUCUCCUUACAGGUCUCCCAAAACAAACUCUAAGGAAGCUUCAGCUUGUUCAGAAUACUGCUGCUAGAGAUUUAACAAAGACCAAAAAAUUUGAACAUAUUACACCAAUUCUUAAAUCGUUACAUUGGCUUCCUGUAGGUCCGAGAAUUGAUUUUACAAUCAUGUUGCUAACCUAUAAAUCCCUACAUGGUUUAGGCCCAAAAUAUUUAACUGAUAUGCUUCCACUACAUAAGCCUUCUAGAACACUAAGAUCUUCUGAGACCAAUCUGUUAAUUAUCCCCAGAGUAAACACGAAACAUGGGAAAGCAGGAUUUAGUUACUAUGCAACAAAUAGCUGGAAUAAACUCCAUGAGGAUUUAAGACUUGCCCCAACUCUGAGCACCUUUAAAACAAGAUUGAAGACUUUUAUGUUUGCUUUAGCUUUCUGCUAAAUCUUAAGUACUUUACCUUUAUUUUACUAAAAUGCCUUUUUAACUUUCCCUUUAUUUUCUAUUUUUUUUUAAAUACAUGAUCUGAUACCAGAGAGAAAGGUUGUAUAAGGGUUAGAGUCCUGAGUUUGUUUGUAUAAGGGUUAGAGUCCUGAGUUUUCCUGAGUAAGGGUUAGAGUCCUGAGUUUGUUUGUAUAAGGGUUAGAGUCCUGAGUUUGUGUGUGGGUGGAAUUCUGAGACCGAGCUCCGUGGGAGGCGUUUCCAAGUUCUGUCUGGGUUAGAGUCCUAGAAUCUGGAUUGGAGUUCCAGAGAAAGGACCAAGUUCCUUUAGGUCGGGUUGUAGUCCCGACUUGGGUUCCAGAGAGACUGUUGAUCUGAUCUUAAAUACAUUGCACUUUCAAUUUUACUUACUAAAAAGCCUUUUUAACUUUCAAUUUAAUUUUCUCUUAAAUACAUUGCACUUUCUAUUUUACUCAUUUCUUGCAUAUGUUUUCUAUUAUUUUAUUUUAUUGUAUGACAAUGUUUAUAUGUGAAGCACUUUGAGUCUGCCUUGUGUAUGAAAAGUGCUAUAUAAAUAAAGUUGCCUUGCCUUG